rnacentral:rRNA from 1 species
AACCAGCUCUUCAAGUGGUCGGGAUAAUUAUUGGGCUUAAAGUGUCCGUAGCCGGCUUAGUAAGUUCCUGGUAAAAUCGGGUAGCUUAACUAUCUAUAUGCUAGGAAUACUGCUAUACUAGAGGGCGGGAGAGGUCUGAGGUACUACAGGGGUAGGGGUGAAAUCUUAUGAUCCUUGUAGGACCACCAGUGGCGAAGGCGUCAGACUGGAACGCGCCUGACGGUGAGGGACGAAAGCCAGGGGAGCGAACCGGAUUAGAUACCCGGGUAGUCCUGGCUGUAAACGAUGCAUACUAGGUGAUGGCACGGCCAUGAGCCGUGUCAGUGCCGUAGGGAAACCGUUAAGUGUGCCGCCUGGGAAGUACGGUCGCAAGGCUAAAACUUAAAGGAAUUGGCGGGGGAGCACCACAAGGGGUGAAGCCUGCGGUUC